rnacentral:rRNA from 1 species
AGAGUUUGAUCCUGGCUCAGGAUGAACGCUAGCUACAGGCUUAACACAUGCAAGUCGAGGGGCAUCAGGAAGAAAGCUUGCUUUCUUUGCUGGCGACCGGCGCACGGGUGAGUAACACGUAUCCAACCUGCCCUUUACUCGGGGAUAGCCUUUCGAAAGAAAGAUUAAUACCCGAUAGCAUAAUGAUUCCGCAUGGUUUCAUUAUUAAAGGAUUCCGGUAAAGGAUGGGGAUGCGUUCCAUUAGGUUGUUGGUGAGGUAACGGCCCACCAAGCCUUCGAUGGAUAGGGGUUCUGAGAGGAAGGUCCCCCACAUUGGAACUGAGACACGGUCCAAACUCCUACGGGAGGCAGCAGUGAGGAAUAUUGGUCAAUGGGCGUUAGCCUGAACCAGCCAAGUAGCGUGAAGGAUGAAGGCUCUAUGGGUCGUAAACUUCUUUUAUAUAAGAAUAAAGUGCAGUAUGUAUACUGUUUUGUAUGUAUUAUAUGAAUAAGGAUCGGCUAACUCCGUGCCAGCAGCCGCGGUAAUACGGAGGAUCCGAGCGUUAUCCGGAUUUAUUGGGUUUAAAGGGAGCGUAGGUGGACUGGUAAGUCAGUUGUGAAAGUUUGCGGCUCAACCGUAAAAUUGCAGUUGAUACUGUCAGUCUUGAGUACAGUAGAGGUGGGCGGAAUUCGUGGUGUAGCGGUGAAAUGCUUAGAUAUCACGAAGAACUCCGAUUGCGAAGGCAGCUCACUGGACUGCAACUGACACUGAUGCUCGAAAGUGUGGGUAUCAAACAGGAUUAGAUACCCUGGUAGUCCACACAGUAAACGAUGAAUACUCGCUGUUUGCGAUAUACAGUAAGCGGCCAAGCGAAAGCAUUAAGUAUUCCACCUGGGGAGUACGCCGGCAACGGUGAAACUCAAAGGAAUUGACGGGGGCCCGCACAAGCGGAGGAACAUGUGGUUUAAUUCGAUGAUACGCGAGGAACCUUACCCGGGCUUAAAUUGCAGUGGAAUGAUGUGGAAACAUGUCAGUGAGCAAUCACCACUGUGAAGGUGCUGCAUGGUUGUCGUCAGCUCGUGCCGUGAGGUGUCGGCUUAAGUGCCAUAACGAGCGCAACCCUUAUCUUUAGUUACUAACAGGUUAUGCUGAGGACUCUGGAGAGACUGCCGUCGUAAGAUGUGAGGAAGGUGGGGAUGACGUCAAAUCAGCACGGCCCUUACGUCC